AUCUAUGGCCAUGCUACCCUGAACAAGCCUGAUCUCGUCAGAUCUUGGAAGCUAAGCAGGGUCAGACUUGGUUAGUACUUGGAUGGGAGACCACCUAGGAAGACCAGGUGCUGUAGGCA
rnacentral:rRNA from 1 species